GACGAACCGUGCGAACGUUGUUCGGAUUUACUGGGCGUAAAGCGCACGUAGGCGGAUCGUUAAGUCGAGGGUGAAAUCCUGGAGCUCAACUCCAGAACUGCCUUCGAUACUGGCGAUCUUGAGUCCGGAAGAGGUGAGUGGAACUCCUAGUGUAGAGGUGGAAUUCGUAGAUAUUAGGAAGAACACCAGUGGCGAAGGCGGCUCACUGGUCCGGUACUGACGCUGAGGUGCGAAAGCGUGGGGAGCAAACAGG
rnacentral:rRNA from 1 species